CAGUGUAACACUGCAUGUGAUGACAGCAGUGAAGAGAACAACUGUGGAGGUAAAUGCUUCCAUAUGUGCCCAAACAAAAUCUGCCUCCCCAAAGCCUCAGUGUGUGACGGGAUUGUGGACUGCAAAGACCGCAGUGAUGAACUCAACUGCACAAGAGCAUUUUCUAAAGGAUGCUCUCCUUCCUCUUUUAAAUGUGCC